GGUUCGAUGGUGUAGUUGGUUAUCACGUCUGUCUCACAUGAUGAUGACGUAAUGUCACGUGCGCACAGGAGGCCUCCGGUUCGAGCCCGGAUCGAACCA